AUUGAACGCUGGCGGCAGGCUUAACACAUGCAAGUCGAGCGGUUGAGGUUGCUUCGGUAACUGAGCUAGCGGCGGACGGGUGAGUAAUGCUUAGGAAUCUGCCUAUUAGUGGGGGACAACAUUCCGAAAGGAAUGCUAAUACCGCAUACGCCCUACGGGGGAAAGCAGGGGAUCUUCGGACCUUGCGCUAAUAGAUGAGCCUAAGUCAGAUUAGCUAGUUGGUGGGGUAAAGGCCUACCAAGGCGACGAUCUGUAGCGGGUCUGGGAGGAUGAUCCGCCACACUGGGACUGAGACACGGCCCAGACUCCUACGGGAGGCAGCAGUGGGGAAUAUUGGACAAUGGGCGAAAGCCUGAUCCAGCCAUGCCGCGUGUGUGAAGAAGGCCUUUUGGUUGUAAAGCACUUUAAGCGAGGAGGAGGCUACUUGGAUUAAUACUCUAGGAUAGUGGACGUUACUCGCAGAAUAAGCACCGGCUAACUCUGUGCCAGCCGCCGCAGUAA
rnacentral:rRNA from 1 species